rnacentral:lncRNA from 1 species
GGGUGUUUUACCUUCUAAGCAUCUGCUCUUCCGUGUUUCCCUCCCCCUAGGUUCCUGGGCAUGGAUUUGAUAGAAGUGGCUGAUAUCUAAUCCGCUGUACACUUUUUAAUUCCGUGCCAGAUGCAGUGGACCGCAGUUAAAAGCUAGGGCUAGGACUUGGAGGAUGUGUAGGCAAACGGAAGGAGAGCCGGGGGAAGAAAAGCCGAAAUGGAUUCAUUCUCCGUCCUGGCUGGAGGAGGAGAGGAGCGGGGACGUGCGGGCUGCCUGCAGCUGCCUCUGUCCGGUGAGAAGUGCUCGCAGCCCCGCGGCUGACUCGGGCUCAGGAGUCCGCGCGGACUUUCGCUCUAAGCUGCCAAUCAAACCGCUAACCGCCACCACCCUGCGCCGGCACCGACAUCUCAAAAGCUUAAAGCCACGGGAGGAGCCCCCAGUUGAACCCGAAAUCCUAACAGAAAGCGAAUCAACUUUCUGGCCGCUGUUUCAACUGAUAGAUCAGAACUUAAUUCGGAGAGACAGAAAGGGAGAGAAACGACAGCACAGAUUUAUCUUGCCCGGCGUCUUCCGCUGAAACUUUAGAAACUGCGGCGUUGCAAACCCGGGCCCGGGAUGCUAAUGAGCGGCAGCGCGUCGUGUCCCCGCUCCUGUCACUUAUUGCCGAGAGCGGAUCGCGGCGCUCGGGGACCCGUGCAGGUGCGCGCACGGAGCAGCGGCCGCUCCGAGCUCAUCUCAUCCCGGCGCCUUUCGGGGAACGGGGGACACUUUGAUCUCCCCCCCCAACCCCCCCCGGCCCCUUCCUCGGGAUCCCUCCGUGCUGGGUCUGCUGGGGGCUGUCCAAGCGGCAGCCCAGCUCCGGGUUCUGCCGCUCCCUCCCAACCCCACCCCCCGUCUUCGCCGAGGUUUCAUUACUUGCUGUUAGUGCCUGGAAACAAUAAAGGAUGUCGGACUGGGCUUUUAUUGAUUAUU